GUGCUCACUUCCACAGCACCUAUACUAAAAAUUGGAACGAUACAGAGACGAUUGGCAUGGUCCCUGCACAAGGAUGACAUGCAAAUUCACGAAGUGUUCCAUAUUUUA